rnacentral:rRNA from 1 species
GUGGGGAAUAUUGGACAAUGGGCGAAAGCCUGAUCCAGCCAUGCCGGGUGUGUGAAGAAGGUCUUCGGAUUGUAAAGCACUUUAAGUUGGGAGGAAGGGCAGUAAGUUAAUACCUUGCUGUUUUGACGUUACCAACAGAAUAAGCACCGGCUAACUUCGUGCCAGCAGCCGCGGUAAUACGAAGGGUGCAAGCGUUAAUCGGAAUUACUGGGCGUAAAGCGCGCGUAGGUGGUUCAGCAAGUUGGAGGUGAAAUCCCCGGGCUCAACCUGGGAACUGCCUCCAAAACUACUGAGCUAGAGUACGGUAGAGGGUAGUGGAAUUUCCUGUGUAGCGGUGAAAUGCGUAGAUAUAGGAAGGAACACCAGUGGCGAAGGCGACUACCUGGACUGAUACUGACACUGAGGUGCGAAAGCGUGGGGAGCAAACAGGAUUAGAUACCCCGGUAGUCC